AGGGUACAGGAUGGAGCCUAUUUGGUAUUGGGUGAUCUGAAUCCUCGAAUCUUCAGUUUGGAGUGUAUAGCGCAGUGCCUGGAAUGUAAUAGGGUUUGAAUAGACGCUUCCUGAUUGGUCAGUGACUUCUGGCUCCCAGAAGGGUCUUGGACGAUCCCUCGUAGCCAUUGUACCAUUGGACAGUCAAACUGGACCCUUGGAGAGAGGUGACUGAACUGAGGCAUCCACAGAACAGGAACCAGGCUCCAUUCUGGACCCUUUGCAUAGGGACUAUGACAAAAUCACAUGUGUGACUGUCUGAAUCACGUACCAGGAGUGACAUGUCCAGACUGCCCCUUGGGGAGGCCAACCACCUUGACUCCAGCAAUGCCGCCCCAGCUCACGCCAGGCUGGCCUCUAGAAGUAUUCUCCAUGCUGGGAGAGAAGGAAGAAAGCCAAUGAGUCUGAUGACUGAGGAAGGGAUCCGAUAGGGAAAGGCAACUUGUGCAAAUAAAGACCCAGCUCCAAGGCACUGGGACUGGCUUCAGUGGCUGACUGCAAAGACCAUUCCCAGUGAGGAGCCAGGAUAAUCAGGGCUGGAGCUG